CUUGAUAAUAUCCGCUUGUUAAGUGGUGACGUGUCGACCUUAUGAUACGUCACAUCCGGGUCCAAGUUGGCCGAGUCCCUCGUAUUUUCAAUAGGCUCUAUGCACGACUGUCUUCCGGGUUCUCGUAUACUGGCAGAUCAACUUCCGGUAUUCAUUUGCCGGUCGUCAACAAGCAGAUAACGUUAGGCAUGGCUCUCUUUUACACUUGUUGUCUUCAAGAUUAACCUCGUCUGACAGUGAACGAUUUAGACCGACCGACGCAUGGUUUGUACUGCUUCUUCUAACAAGCGGGAAAAAGGAUUUUAAAUGUACAACUCCAGCGACAUUGACAAAUAUGAAGGUGGAGUGGUCCGGGUUCUUUCUGUGUGAGGUUUGCAUGUUCUCCCUGUAUCUGCGUGGGUUUCCUCCGGCAGCUCCUGUUUCCUCCCACAGUCCAUAGACGUGCAAGUGAGGUGAAUUGGAGAUACAAAAUUGUUUGAUAUUAAAACUUGAACUGAUGAAUUUUGUGUAAUGAGUAACUACCAUUUCUGUCAUGAAUGUAACCAAAGUGUAAAACAUGAUGUUAAAAUCCUAAUACAACAUAAAACAAACUAAACAUAUCUGACUGGAUAUAUUAGCAAUUUACCCUCAAUCUUUUGAUUAAGUGUAAAAAGUUUUGUUCACCAAUAUAUGAAUGAGUUAUCUUUUAUUCAUUAUCAAAUGUUAUAUGUCAGACCAUAAUAAAUUUCCUGUCAAUUGA